rnacentral:rRNA from 1 species
GUGAGGAAUAUUGGACAAUGGGCGCAAGCCUGAUCCAGCCAUGCCGCGUGCAGGAAGACGCAUCUAUGGUGUGUAAACUGCUUUUGUACGGGAAGAAACACUCCCUCGUGAGGGAGCUUGACGGUACCGUAAGAAUAAGGAUCUGCUAACUCCGUGCAAGCAGCCGCGGUAAUACGGAGGAUCCAAGCGUUAUCCGGAAUCAUUGGGUUGAAAGGAUCCGUAGGCGGUUUAAUAAGUCAGUGGUGAAAGCCCAUCGUUCAACGAUGGAACGGCCAAUGUUACUGUUAGACUUGAAUUACAAGGAAGUAACUAGAAUAUGUAGUGUAGCGGUGAAAUGCUUAGAUAUUACACAGAACACCGAUUGCGAAGGCAGCUUACUGGUCCAUUAUUGACGCUGAGGCACGAAAGCGUGGGGAUCGAACAGGAUUAGAUACCCUAGUAGUCC